rnacentral:rRNA from 1 species
GUGGGGAAUAUUGGACAAUGGGGGGAACCCUGAUCCAGCCAUGCCGCGUGUGUGAAGAAGGCCUUUUGGUUGUAAAGUACUUUAAGCGAGGAGGAGGCUACCGAGAUUAAUACUCUUGGAUAGUGGACGUUACUCGCAGAAUAAGCACCGGCUAACUCUGUGCCAGCAGCCGCGGUAAUACAGAGGGUGCAAGCGUUAAUCGGAUUUACUGGGCGUAAAGCGCGCGUAGGUGGCCAAUUAAGUCAAAUGUGAAAUCCCCGAGCUUAACUUGGGAAGUGCAUUCGAUACUGGUUGGCUAGAGUAUGGGAGAGGAUGGUAGAAUUCCAGGUGUAGCGGUGAAAUGCGUAGAGAUCUGGAGGAAUACCGAUGGCGAAGGCAGCCAUCUGGCCUAAUACUGACACUGAGGUGCGAAAGCAUGGGGAGCAAACAGGAUUAGAAACCCCAGUAGUCC